rnacentral:lncRNA from 1 species
CCACGCCCGCGCCUCCUCGGGUUCUCCUCCCCACUCCACCUCGCGCUCCCUCUCGGCCUCUCUCCCCCCUCCUCAGAUUCGCCCCAUCCGAACGCUCCCGUGGCCAUGGUCGUCGGGUAGCCGAGGCCACCUUCCUCAUCGCACCGCACCGUCGUGUCCAUCAGCUCCACCGACGUCUUCUUCGUCUACCUCGCCACUGGAUCGGAGACGGGAGGCCACCUCGUCGACGCCCGUACCAACUUCCUCCUCCUCGGCCACCACCGCCAUCACCGUCGAUUCCGGCUACCCCGCGCCUCCCCCGAGCCCACGCUUGCACAACUACAGGCUCGCGGUGAGCCUCCGCUUCCUUCCCCCUCUCUGUUUCAUCCUGCCGACGAGGUCCUGGGGACCCAGGCAAGCUCGUGUGCCCCGUAGUCGCCGAUCCGUCGAGCUCCGCCCUCUGACGGUCACCGUUAUCGCGCCUGACUCCGGCCACCGCUCCCUCCCCAUGCCCGCCCUNNNNNNNNNNNNNNNNNNNNNNNNNNNNNNNNNNNNNNNNNNNNNNNNNNNNNNNNNNNNNNNNNNNNNNNNNNNNNNNNNNNNNNNNNNNNNNNNNNNNNNNNNNNNNNNNNNNNNNNNNNNNNNNNNNNNNNNNNNNNNNNNNNNNNNNNNNNNNNNNNNNNNNNNNNNNNNNNNNNNNNNNNNNNNNNNNNNNNNNNNNNNNNNNNNNNNNNNNNNNNNNNNNNNNNNNNNNNNNNNNNNNNNNNNNNNNNNNNNNNNNNNNNNNNNNNNNNNNNNNNNNNNNNNNNNNNNNNNNNNNNNNNNNNNNNNNNNNNNNNNNNNNNNNNNNNNNNNNNNNNNNNNNNNNNNNNNNNNNNNNNNNNNNNNNNNNNNNNNNNNNNNNNNNNNNNNNNNNNNNNNNNNNNNNNNNNNNNNNNNNNNNNNACGCCCGCAGCCCCCGCACUUGCCCUGUGCCUUCCCUCCCGGCUGCUUGCCUCGUCGCCGCACGCCGCGCGCCCCUCGGCUCCGCUGCCCCCUGCCGCGCCCCAACUGCCCGUACCCCUCGGAGGCCACCUGCACCACAGGCCGCGUCGGCCUGCCUCGCCUGCUAUUGUUGCUCCCGCCGCGCACGUGCCGUCGCUGCUCGUCGUGUCCGACCCGCCCCUGACCUCGCUCGCCUCGGCUCCGCCGCAUCCCGCUCCUCCUCGCCGGGCCUUUCCCCUUCGCAUCGCUCCCUUGCUGCUCGCUGCCUACAACUGCUGCUCUGCGUGUGCUGCUGCUUCAGUUACUGUAGCGCUAGCUAGCUUUUCUAAUUCUACGAUGAGUAGGCCUUUAGACAACCCCUAAACUCUGGCAAAACAAUUGUUAACAGGACUAAAAAAAUAUGGGAAGGUAGUAUACUUGACAAACUCUAUUUUAUUCCACUGGAUCAAAUACAUUUGAUGUAUGGUUUAAGUCCUAUAAAAAUCACAAAAUGCUAUCUUCUGAUAACAACAAACAGAUUUAACCUCUAGCAUUGCGUGUUGUGUGCUGUGUGUGUAUGCAGCGUGGUGUGUGUGAGUGUGCCGUGUGAGUGCACGUGUGUGUGAGUGUGUGUGCGGCCGGCCCAAACCAGUUAGGUCUAAUUUAAUUAGCUAGAUUAGUCCUAGGAUUAGUUCUGCUGUUUAGUUAGUACUAUCAGUUUAGUGCUAGAUUAGCCUAAUAGCCUAUGACAUGUGGCCCCAUCCUAAUCUAGACACAAAUUUAAUUUAGAUGCCCAUGACAUGUGGGCCAUACCUCACCUUUUGACCAGUCAAAGUAAAAUGGUUGACCAGCCCCCCGGGUUCCACUGUCAUACACAUAGGUUAGGGUAACACUAUGUAACAAAUGCACAUUCUGUCUUCAAUUCAAUUUAAACAAUUCCAAAAAAUUCAGAAAAUGAAUUAAAACUUUCAAAAUUAAUAUAGAAUAAACCAUAGCUCGGAUGGGAAAACUUUGUACAUGAAAGUUGCUCAGAACGACGAGACGAAUCUGGAUACGUAGCCAGUUCGUCCGCCACACAUCCCUAGCAUAGCGAACAUGCAACUUUCCCCCUCCAGUUCAUUUGUCCGAAAACGCGGAACACCAGGAAUACUUUCCCGGAUGUUUCCCCCCUUCGCAAGUAUCACCUAGUACUACGUUAGGUCACCCCUAGCACCCCGUAUUGCCAUGUUAUGCUUUGUGAUGCUUUGUUUGCUCUAUUAUUUAUUGUGUUCCCCCUUCGUUACUUCUUUCCGGUAGACCCAGAGACCGCUGCCGGUACCCUUGUGAUCGACUACAUCGACGACGAACCUUUCUCUUGCCAGAGCAACCAGGUAAGCCCCCCCUUUGAUCACCAGAUAUCGCAUAUUCUUCCCUCUACUGCUUGCAUUAGAGUAGUGUAGCAUGUUACAGUUCGGUUAAUCCUAUUCUAUUGCAUAGCCUAUCAUUGUUGCUACAUCUGUUGAUACCUUACCUGCAUUCCUAAAUGCUUAGUAUAGGAUGCUAGUUUACCAUUAGUGGCCCUACAUUUUUGUUAGUCUGCCAUGCUAUACCAUCGGGCCGUGAUCACUCGGGAGGUGAUCACGGGUGUAUAUUAUACAUACAUAUACUAUACAGAUGGUGACUAAAGUCGGGUUGGCUCGUUGAGUAGCCGCAAGUGAUUUUGAGGGGGCUGGAAGGACAGGUGGCUUCAUCCCGGUAGAGGUGGGCCUGGGUUCCUGACGGCCCUCGACUGUUACUUUGUGGCGGAGCGACAGGGCAGGUUGAGACCACCUAGGAGAGAGGUGGGUCUGGCCCUGGUCGGCGUCCGUAGUUACUUCAAAAUAACACGCUUAACGAGAUCUUGGUAUUUGAUUGGAGUCUGGCCACUGGCCUAUACGCACUAACCAACUACGCGGGAAAGAUAUGGGCACUUGACGUCGUGGUAUCAAUCGAAGCCUUCGUGACGUCAGCGACUGAGCGGCGCGUGCCGGAUUGGAACGUAAGCCUACUUUUGUAUUAAGGGGGCUAGUUCUGCUUCCAGCCGCGUUCGCCACGUGCAGGUCUGCAAUGGGCGAUAGGCCCAGACCCCUGCGUGCAUAGGAUUUAGACCGACGUCCUGACCUCUUUGUUGUGUCUAGGUGGGGCUGCGACGUGUUGAUCUUCCGAGGCCAGGCAUGACCCAGGAAAGUGUGUCCGACCAAAUGGGAUCGAGCGUGUUGGGUUAUGUGGUGUACCCCUGUAGGGAAGUUUAUCUAUUCGAAUAGCCGUGUCCCUCGGUAAAAGGACGACCCGGAGUUGCACCUUGACCUUAUGACAACUAGAACUGGAUACUUAAUAAAACACACCAGAAAAGUUCCACAGACAACCCAGUGAUCGCUUUUCCACAGGGCGACGAGGGGAGGAUCGCCGGGUAGGAUUAUGCUAUGCGAUUCUACUUGGAGGACUACAAUCUACUCUCUUCUACAUGCUGCAAGACGGAGGCUGCCAGAAGCGUAGUCUUUGAUAGGACUAGCUAUCCCCCUCUUAUUCUGGCAUUCUGCAGUUCAGUCCAUCGAUAUUGCCUCUUUACACAUAUACCCAUGCAUAUGUAGUGUAGAUCCUUGCUUGUGAGUACUUUGGAUGAGUACUCACGGUUGCUUUUCUCCCCCUGUCCCCCCUUUCCUUUCUUCCCGGUUGUCGCAACCAGAUGCUAGAGCCCAGGAGCCAGAUGCCACCGUUAACGAUGACUCCUACUACACUGGAGGUGCCUACUACUACGUGCAGGCCGAUGAUGACGACCGGGAGUAGUUUAGGAGGAUCCCAGGCAGGAGGCCUGCGCCUCUUUUGAUCUGUAUCCCAGUUUGUGCUAGCCAUCUUAUGACAACUUGUUUAACUUAUGUCUGUACUCAGAUAUUGUUGCUUCCGCUGACUCGUCUAUGAUCGAGCACUUGUAUUUGAGCCCUCAAGGCUCCUGGCUUGUAUUAUGAUGCUUGUAUGACUUAUUUUAUUUGUAGAGGUGUGUUGUGAUAUCUUCCCGUGAGUCCCUGAUCUAGAUCGUACAUGUUUGCGUGUAUGAUUAGUGUACGACUAAAUCGGGGGCGUCACAAUUGAGGUGCUCAUCCAGAUGAACCAGGACACAAGCAGUAGUUCUCACGGUGCCACCUUAGCCGAUAGAGCGGAACGUAAGGUAGAAAAACACGGAAGCCGGGCAAACCCAGCUAUUGACCAAAGACAUGAUUCGGAGCUGAUGCAUAUAAGGCCAAACUCGCGACGCCGAACACUCCCGAAGGUAUUCGGACUUUACAACAUAUACUGGGCUGAUUACCGCCCUCGAUAAUGAUCCCUGAAUUUUCAGGUACAUGCAUAAAUUCGGCGUGACGAAACAACAGCUGUGGUAAGGGCAUAAAUCCCAAAAACACAUUGGAUGCUGCCCUUGUAACGUCCAUUUUAGAUCGGCGAAUAAUAAGUUUGCCAAUAACCCUCUUGGUCGUUUUAAGUACUAGGAGGGUGUGAGCCAACAAGAGACAAUAAAAAAAGGUUUAUAUAGGGUCUUAAUCUAAAAAGAAACCUUGGAACGGAUCCCUGCAGCACGUCUGCGCCUUUGUCUCCGUUGUGUUGUAUCCUGGAAGGGUAUAGCAUGAUAGGCAUCUGUAAAAAGAAAGAAAAACUCAGGUGAAAUAAUCUUUUGUGACCGUGCGUAACGUUGGUUAAACUUAAUGAAUCGUGAAAAUUCAAUUUCUUGAGUAUAAAUAGGAUCCAGCCGAACUAUGGAUUCUUUUCGUGCGGGCAGCCCCUAGCACCACAUAUGGGGGCAUAGCCGUUAGUCAAGCUCAGGUUUAUCUGGGCUGCUACAAAUAGUGGUGCGCCGAACACGUCUAGCCGUGUCCGUGGUCUCGACGACCGAUUAAUUACUCGGGUUGGAGAGGUCGGUCAGUGGUUCGGCUGCUAGAGCCACCACAUAUUCUUCCGCACGCAGGGAACGCUCUGUAUUUCCGCUAAUUGUGAUGACGCCGCAUGGACUGGACAUCUUAAGUUUAAGAUAAGCGUAUUGUGGAACUGCAUUGAAACGAACGAAGGCCGUUCUUCCGAGUAGUGCAUGGUAGCCGCUUCGGAAUGGAGCGAUGUCAAAGAUUAGUUCUUUGCUUCGGAAGUUGUCGGGAGAACCAAAUACAACCUCUAAUGUUUGAGAGCCCGUGCAGUGGGCCUCUACGCCUGGUAUUACUCUUUAAAGGUAGUACUGUUUUGGCUGAUUCUUGACGGGUCUAUCCCCAUCUUGCGGACAGUGUGGAUAUAUCACACUAAGCCUACUACCGCCGUCCAUGAGGACUCAGGUGAGAUGGUAUCCGUCAAUUAUUGGGUCGAGCAUCAAGGCAGCUAAACCUCUAUGCCGGAUACUAGUCGGAUGAUCUCUGGUGCCGCUGCGGGCCAACCAACUGUCCUCGCCCGCGCAAAAGUGUGUCAUGAGAGUUGUUAGGGCUGCCAUUGUCCUUGGCUUUUCCUGGCCGAGGUAUCUGGCAAGCCAUUCAUCCUGGAUAUUGCGUUUAAAAGCUGCUAGGGCUUCAGCGUCCGGACAGUCGACGAUUUGGUUCUUCUUUUUGAGAAAUCUGUUCCAAAGCUUACGGGCUGACUCUCCGGGCUGUUGGAUUAUGUGACUUAAAUCGUCUACAUCCGGAGGUCGGACAUAGGUCCCUUGAAAAUUAGCCCUGAAAGCGUCCUCAAGUUCCUCCCAACUUCCAAUUGAGUUUUCGGGGAGGCUUUUCAACCUGUGCCGAGUUGGUCCUUUCAACUUGAGGGGCAGGUAUUUGAUGGCGUGGAGAUCGUCUCUGCAAGCCAUGUGGAUGUGAAGAAUAAAGUCCUGGAUCCAGACUGCAGGGUCUGUUGUUCUGUCGUAUGCCUCGAUGUUUACGGGUUUGAACCCCUCUGAAAAUUCAUGAUCCAGCACCUCAUCCGUGAAGCACAGGGUGUGUGCGGCGCCCCUUUAUUUGGCUGUGUCGUGGCGUGGGUCCGACGGCUGUAGUGUUUGGUGUUGAUUCGGAGCUGGUAGUUGAUCAGUGUAGACAGUUUGGUGGUCGUGAUCUUGCGUAGGAGCACGUUUCCUAGAUCCAUAGAUGGACCUAGCCAUACCAGCUCUUUUGUCCAGGUGCUCACAUAGAUCGUAUGCUAACUUAUGUGCGGCAUCAUUAGCCGCUCUGUCUCGGCCACAGGGUGGUCGGUCCGGCAGAUCGGCCGUAUUUUUUUCGGCGGGAUGGGCUCUAUAGCCUCGUCGUCGAAUUCGUGCAGCAGCUUGCGCUUUGGGUAGCUCUUUAUGUGGCGACUGCCACCUUAUUUUUCGUAAGUGUCAAGCAAUUUGUUCCAUCUGUGGUUGAGCAUAUCCUGCGCGGCCUAAAGCCUUUGCUUCUGCUUCUUCAGGCUCCUCACGGUGGCGAUAAGACUUUUGUGGAGGUUCUCUUGUUCCAAGUGCUUUUCUAGGAUGAUGUGUGAUACGUCUCCAACGUAUCUACUUUUCCAAACACUUUUGCCCUUAUUUUGGACUCUAAUUUGCAUGAUUUGAAUGAAACUAACCCGGAUUGACGCUGUUUUCAGCAGAACUGACAUGAUGUUGUAAUAUGUGUACAAAACAAAAGUUCUCGGAAUGUCCUGAAAAUCUAUGGAGGCACUUUUUGGAAAAUAUAAAAAAUACUGGCGAAAGAAUCAAGACCAGGGGGCCCACACCCUGUCCACAAGGGUGGGGGCGCACCCACCCCCCUAGGCGCGCCCCGUGUCCCGUGGGCCCCCUGAGGCUCCGCCGACCUCAACUCCAACUCCAUAUAUUCCGUCUCGUGGAGAAAAAAAUCAAAGAGAAAGUUUCAUCGCGUUUUACGUUACAGAGCCGCCGCCAAGCCCUAAUCUCUCUUGGGAGGGCUGAUCUGGAGUCCGUUCGGGGCUCCGGAGAGGGGGAUUCGUCGCCGUCGUCAUCAUCAACCAUCCUCCAUCACCAAUUUCCUGAUGCUCACCGCCGUGCGUGAGUAAUUCCAUCAUAGGCUUGCUGGACGGUGAUGGGUUGGAUGAGAUUUACCAUGUAAUCAAGUUAGUUUUGUUAGGGUUUGAUCCCUAGUAUCCACUAUGUUCUGAGAUUGAUGUUGCUAUGACUUUGAUAUGCUUAAUGCUUGUCACUAGGGCCCGAGUGCCAUCAUUUCAGAUUUGAACCUAUUAUGUUUUCAUGAAUAUAUGUGUGUUCUUGAUCCUAUCUUGCAAGUCUAUAGUCACCUAUUAUGUGUUAUGAUCUGACAACCCCGAAGUGACAAUAAUCGGGAUACUUCUCGGUGAUGACUGUAGUUUGAGGAGUUCAUGUAUUCACUAUGUGCUAAUGCUUUGUUUUGGUUCUCUAUUAAAAGGAGGCCUUAAUAUCCCUUAGUUUCCACGAGGACCCCGCUGCCACGGGAGGGUAGGACAAAAGAUGUCAUGCAAGUUCUUUUCCAUAAGCACGUAUGACUAUUUACAGAAUACAUGCCUACAUUACAUUGAUGAAUUGGAGCUAGUUCUGUGUCACCCUAUGUUAUAACUAUUACAUGAGGAAUCACAUCCGACAUAAUUAUCCAUCACUGAUCCAUUGCCUACGAGCUUUUCACAUCUUAUGCUUCGCUUAUUUACUUUUCCGUUGCUACUGUUACAAUGACUACAAAACCCUAAAAUAUUACUUUUGCUACUAUUACCUUUAUUAUCAUACUACUUUGCUACUAAAUACUUUGCUGCAGAUACUAAGUUAUCCAGGUGUGGUUGAAUUGACAACUCAACUGCUAAUACUCAAUAAUAUUCUUUGGCUCCCCUUGUGUCAAAUCAAUAAAUUUGAGUUGAAUACUUUACCCUCGAAAGCUGUUGCGAUCCCCUACACUUGUGGGUUAUCAAGACUAAUUUCUGGCGCCCUUGCCGGGGAGCAUAGCUCUAUUCUCUGAGUCACUUGGGAUUUAUAUUUGUUGAUGACUAUGAGGAACUUGAAGGACGAAAGAACCAAGAUUUUUCCCUCAACUACGAGGGGAGGUAAGGAACUACCAUCUAGCUCUGCACUAGAUUCUCCUUCUAUUUUGAGUAAGCUUGCGACACCUAAACCUGCUACUGCUAUGAAUUCUGACAUGUUGCAUGUUAUUGUGAUGCCACUUCUGCUAUGCAUGAUACUUAUGAUGAAACUACUUCUGUGCGUGAUACUUCUUUGCCAUUAGGUGAAUUUCUUGAUGAACAACUUGCUAGGGCUAGAGAAUGGAAUUAUUGAAGAUGCUAUUAUUGAUGAUAGUGAUGAUGAAAGUUCUCCCAAUGAUUAUGAAUUGCCUAUUGUUCCUGAGGGUUAUGUUAUGGAAGAGGAAGCUGCUAGAGCUAUCUUUGCUUGUAAAGAUAGAUAUGAUCUUAAGAAAUUAUUAGCUAAAUGGAAGCAGCAGUCUCUUAAUGCUAGAAUGAAGCCUGACCCUGCUUUUGCUACUUCAUCUAUUUUUGUUACUGAUAAGGAUUAUGAAUUCUCUGUUGAUCUUGAGAUUAUUACUUUAGUUGAAUCUGAUCCUUUUUAUGGCCUUGAAUCUGAAACUGUUGUGGCACAUCUUACCAAGUUGAAUGAUAUAGCCACCCUGUUUACUCAUGAUGAUAAAUCUCGCUAUUAUUAUAUCCUUAAGAUAUUUCCGUUCUCAUUAAAUGGUGAUGCUAAGACUUGGUAUAAUUAUCUUGCUCCUGGUUGUGUGCGUAGUCCCCAGGAUAUGAUUUAUUACUUCUCUACUAAAUAUUUCCCUGCUCAUAAGAAGCAAGUUGCAUUACGGGAAAUAUAUAAUUUGUGCAAAUCAAAGAAGAGAGUCUCCCACAAGCUUGGGGGAGGCUUCUCCGAUUACUUAAUGCUUUGCCUGAUCAUCCUCUUAAGAAAAAUGAAAUACUUGAUAUCUUUUAUAAUGGACUAAACGAUGCUUCCAAGGACUACUUGGAUAGUUGUGCUGGUUGUGUUUUAAGGGAAAGAAUAGUCAAUGGAGCUGAACUACUAUUGAAUAAUAUGUUGACUAAUGAAAAUAAUUGGACUCUUCCUGAGCCAAUUCCUGAACCAAUUGAGCCAAUUCCUGAGCCUAUUUCUAAACCCACUCCGAAGAAGAGAGGUGUUUUAUUUCUCAGUCCUGAAGAUAUGCAAGAGGCAAAGAAAUCAAUGAAAGAAAAAGGUAUUAAAGCUGAAGAUGUUAAGAAUUUACCUCCUAUUGAAGAAAUACAUGGUCUUAAUACACCGCCUGUUGAAGAACCACAUUCUCUUGAUAACCCAACAUAGGUAGUAAAGGUAAAUUUUCUCUAUAGAUAUGAUAAAGUUGAAAUUCCCUCUACUAAAUUUCAUAUCCCAUGCUUAGAUGAAUUCGAUGACUUUAUGGCUAGACAAGAAAGUUUUGAUGCUUAUGUUGGUAGAGAGUUAAAUAAUAAUGCUUUCGAGAUAGGACGCGUGAGCGAUUAUAUGGCUAGAGUUAAAGGUGAACUCAAACUCGUUAGCAAAUAUGCUUCUAUGGUUGCUACUCAAGCUGAGCAAGUACUUAAAGCUCAAAUUGAUUUGCUUGAUGGAUUAAAUAAUAAAAAUGACUUUGCUAUUAGAGUGGCUACUAGAACUGGUAGAAUGACUCGGGAACCUUUGUAUCCUGAAGGCCACCCUAAGAGAAUCGAGCAAGAUUCUCAGAGAAACAAUUUAGAGGCACCUAGUUCUUCUAAAAAGAAGAAAAAGAAAAAUGAUAGAACUUUGCAUGCUUCUAGUGAACCUAUUGCGGACACACCUGAGAAUGCCAAUGAUAUUUCUAUCUCUGAUGCUGAAACACAAUCAGGUGAUGAACAUGAACCUAGUGAUAAUGUUAAUGAUAAUGUUCAUGUUGUUGCUUAACCUAGCAAAAACAAUGAAGUAGCGAUUGAACCUGCUGUUGAUCUUGAUAACCCACAAUCAAAGAAUCAACGUUAUGACAAGAGAGAUUUUGUUGCUAGGGAGCACGGUAGAGAAAGAGAACCAUGGGUUCAGAAACCCAUGCCCUUUCCUCCUAAACCAUCCAAGACAAAGGAUGAUGAGGAUUUUGAGCGCUUUGCUGAAAUGAUUAGACCUAUCUUCUUACGUAUGCGCUUAACUGAUAUGCCUAAAGUAAAUCCUUAUGCUAAGUAUAUGAAGGAUAUCAUUACAAACAGAAGAAAGAUACCGGAAGCUGAAAUUUCCACCAUGCUUGCUAGUUACACUUUUAAGGGUGGAAUACCAAAGAAACUUGGAGAUCCCGGGGUACCAACUAUACCAUGCUCCAUUAAAAGAAAUUAUGUUAGAACUGCUUUAUGUGAUCUUGGAGCCAGUGUUAGUGUUAUGCCUCUCUCUUUAUAUCGUAGACUUGAAUUGAAUAAGUUGACACCUACUGAAAUAUCUUUGCAAAUGGCUGAUAAAUCAACUGCCAUACCUGUCGGUAUUUGUGAGGAUGUGCCUGUUGUGGUUGCAAAUGUCACUAUCUUAACGGACUUUGUUAUUCUUGAUAUUCCCGAGGAUGAUAGUAUGUCGAUUAUCCUUGGUAGACCCUUUUUGAAUACUGCAGGGGCAUUUAUUGAUUGCAAAAAAGGCAAUGUCACUUUUCAUGUUAAUGGUAAUGAGCAUACGGUACACUUUCCGAGGAAACAAUCUCAAGUUCAUAGCAUCAAUUCUAUUGGAAAAGUUCCAACUAUUAUUAUUGGAGGUUUUGAAUUUCCUCUCCCUACUGUCAAGAAAAAGUAUGAUAUUCUUAUUAUUGGGGAUGUUCAUAUCCCCGUUGAGGUAACUUAGUGUUAUUCGAAAUUUCUCCGGUUCCGUGUUAUUCAGAAUGAGUUUGUUAACAAGACUUGUUCAACCUUGUUAGUGGAUUCAUUUUGAUGAUCACGAGAAUAAAUAAAGCAAAAGUAGUAUUAUCUGUCUGUUUUCUGAAUUAUCCGUGCAAUAAAAGAAUAUCCCGAAAAUAAAAGUGCUCCAAAUGCCCUGCAAAUUUAGUAUGAUUUUUUAUGGAAUAUUUGAGGAUUUUAGGCACUGAAAUCACUACAGGAGGGGCAAGCACCAGGCCACGAGAGUGGAGGGCGCGCCCACCCCCCUAGGCAUGCCCCCUGUCUCCUGGGCCCCUGGUGGCCCCCUCCACUUAUGCCAGCACCACACACUCCAUCUUCUUCCCAAAAAAAUCCCCACCAGCUCAAGCACGAGUUCUAGCUCGUUUUGUUACGAUUUUCGAUCUCCUUGCUCAAAGCUCCAUUCACAAAACUGCUUUGGGAGAUUGUUGCUUGGUAUGUGACUCCUCCAUUGGCCCAAUUAGUUUUUGUUCUAGUGCUUUAUUCAUUGCAAAUUUUUGCUGCAUAGGUGACCAUGUUCUUGAGCUUGCAUGUUAAAUUUAUGAGGUCCCAAGCAAUUCUAAUACAUGAUAUAGGCACUAGGCACUUGUAGGAGUAGUUGCUAUCAAUCUUGUUUAGUUUUAUUCACUUUUAUUUUGAAGCUACUAAAAUUUCAGAAAUUUUUCAAAAAAAAGAAUUAUGUCUAGGAGAAUGUACCAAGGUGAUUCUUCGGUGAAGAAAGGGCCCAGGAUUGCUAUACGUGAGCAAGAUGUUGAAUUAUCAAGGAAUUCAGAUGUACGAGCUUGUGAGUGGCCAUCCGACGAUUUUAUGGUCGAAGCAGGCUUUAAGGAGGAAUUUGACGCAUAUGUGUGUAAUGCUGAUCUGGAGGACUUUUACAAGAUAAGUGCCCUCAGUACUAUCAAUUGAAAGAUUCCUUUGUGCGGAGGUUUAAAUACAACUAUACACGUAAUUCUCCUAGUGUCCUAUUUGAUAUCUAUGAUACAUCUUAUACCAUGGACUUAGAGGAUUUUACAACUGCUUGCAAACUUCCACAGUGGGGAAAUAUUAAUGAUCCCCACAAAUCUGAAUUUAGAGAUUUCCUUGCUAGUAUUACUGUGGAAGAAUCCAGGGAUAUUGCACAAGCUACCAUAGGGAGCAUUCAUUUUCCUGCUAUACAUUAUUUUGCUCUCUUCAUUGUUAUAUGCAUUAACGGUAAAGAUGAAGCAUGUUAUAUGUGUGUCCCUGAUCUUUGUGUCCUCAAGAGUGUUGUGCUAGGUUAUAAAGAUUAUAACUUGGGGGCAAUAGUUGCAUGUAGGUUGCAUAAUAAUGGAAGAGCUGGAGAUUUAUUUGGAGGAAUUUAUGCGACCCGUGUGGCAAAUUUCUUGGUAUAGCCCCACGAGAGGGGGAUAUGAUGUUACCUCCUGCUUAUUUAGAUUAUGACGCUAUGGUCCAACAUCAUUUUCUUAAGAGGAAUGAACAAUUCCUCUAGUAUCGACUAAUCUAUGACAGACGCAACGCUGACCAUGUUACUCUUCCUGCUCCUCUCCUUUUUGAUUACCAGGCAAAAGGAAGAUAUGUUGUUACCAGGGAGGAAGCAGUUGAACACAAGGGGAGAGCGGAGGCGGCUCGCCAACAUGCCAUAGCUCAGGAGGCAAUUGUUGCUGAAUCAAUAUGACCCCAGUUACAACUACGGAUAUCAGCCAGUCGGUCCUUGGUAUUAGACCAACUUAGGCCAAAAGCCUAAGCUUGGGGGAGUACAUAUUUCUCACGACUUUACAUUCAUGUUCACACACUAUCUAGUUGUCGGUGCUCAUACUCUUUCAUUGUAUUAUCCACGCUAGUUUAAUUUUCUUUUUCUCGCUUUCUUCUUGUGUGUUUGAUAAACCUUAAGAAAAACCAAAAAAUUAGUUAGUUUAAUUUCCAUGCUUGUAGUAGAAAUUAAAAUGAAAACCCAAAAAGAUUUCUCGUUCUUCUUCUUACUUGUUGGGAGCUUUCCCGUGUAAAUAUUUUUAUUUUCUUUUCUUUUCUUUGGGGUUCGAGAGUAGAAGACCAUAUUGAAAAUGUUGAGUGGCUCUCACUUGCAUGAUUGUUUAUUUAACUUAGAGCCCAUAUUACCUUGUCUUCUCUCUUGAGUUGAAUGCUUGCAGAUUCCAGCUUAGUCCAAUGCACGUGCACUAUUAUUAUUAUACACAUCGUUCGGUCGUGCAAGUGUAGCGACCAGACCUCAAACAGUCUGACCUCUGUGCUUUAGUGUCAUCCCUGGAUCAGUAAUGCUGACACGCACAGUACUUGAAGGAUUUAUAACAGAGUAGCAAUCACGCACUUAUUACAUCGAAUGUCUCAAAAGAGAGCUUAUUACAAUAAAUAUGGCUUGAGGCCAUCUAAUAACGAUAACAGCGGAAGGCUUGGAAGAUAAGUGAGUCCAUCAACUCCAACUACAUCACUGAGUAUAGAACCACGACCUAAAGGCACCUUACUCGUCGUCUGAAAAGUCUGCAACAUGAACGUUGCAGCCCAAAAACGGGUCAGCACAUGGAAUAUGCUGGCAAUGUAACACAGAGAGAAAUGAACAGAAAUAUGCUAUACUACAUGCAUAUAUGGCUGGUGGAAAGCUCUAUGGUUACAGUUUGCAUAAAGCCAAUUUUUCCCUACUGCAAAGGAAUAAAUUUUAUUUAACUAUCAUGGUGGUUGUUAAACAUUGAGAGUGUAGACACCCUCUCAAUCCCAAUCAAACAUCAACAUUAAAACCCAACAAAAUUAAUUAAAGUAACAUGAUGAUAUUCACAUGAUAAUCCAAGUACUAGAUACUCAAGAUGUCCAUAACCGGGGACACGGCUAACCAUGAUUAGUUUAUACACUCUUCAGAGGUUUGCGCACUUUUCCCCACAAGACUCGAUCUCCUCCGUUGGGAUUCUCGCACUACAUGGUGUUUGAGAAAUGGAUGACCGAGACAUAGUCUUUCAGAAGCACUAGCACCUUACGAUCGGGUAGACAGUUACACCUACUUUCCCCUACAUAUGCUAGUCUACCACUGUAAGAGUUCGCACGACUUAAUCAACUAUGCUAGAGCCCAUAGUAGCUUGUGGCUGCACACGGAAGUUUCUAGCAUUAAUAAUCUCAUGAUCCCUUUGAGCCUGGGUGGCGGUCCAUAAAGAAAAACAUGCAAUCGUUGGAAUACCCAGUGCCUCAAUCCACCCAGAUGUGUGUUAAAGUUGCCACCUUAAAUAAACCAUUAAAUAACAAUCUCACAAUUGUCAUGGAUACACUCACCCAAUCCAUGUCUACUAGCAUAGCAUGGCAUAAUAAGCAAACGUAGAAGUAACUCCCAAGGGUUUGAUAAUAAAACAGGUAAUAGGUACUACCUCAUCUACUUCCCAACCCACAAAUUAAUUAGAUCGUAAUCAUGCAAUGUUUGAGGAUUGAUUUAAUGCAAUAAAACUGGGUAGUAAAGAGGUAUGAUCAAAGUGUUACUUGCCUUGCUGAUGAUCCGUGAAACCUAGAGAUUCGAAGUAGCAACCGGCGCACUCCGGGUUCUCUAACGCAAACAAACAAACAUACAAUAAGUAAUUACCUAAUGCACGGGUAAAACUCAAGUAAGAGAUCUAACCAGAAAAUUCAACUUAAGAACUCCGGUUUGCAAAAAGAAUCAAAUCGAACGAAGCAACGAAAAUCAAACGGCGAAAGAAACAAGCUUCGUUUACUAAUCUGGACCUAAGUCAAAUUUUACAGAAGCAAAAACUUGUUUGAGUGGGUUAAACGGAAAGAGGGUUUCGAGACGAAACUCUAGGCGCUUGAAUCGCCUGAUUCCGAUAAACGAGCGAAAAGUUAUACUAGAACGAAAAUCAGAUCAGGAAUCGCGAUAAGAAAUAACCGCGGAAAAUCUGAGAAAAAGAAAAACUGGCAAACAGAUUAACGAACGAACGUUCGUCAACUGAAACUAAACGGCAAACUCGUCCGUCAAAACGAACGAACGGGCGAAUGUUUGCUAAAAAGAUAAACCAAAAAAAUUGUGGAGGGGUGGCGGUGUGGGGCGGCGGCGGCGACUAUUUAUGGAGGGGGGCGGCGGCUCUGGCUUGGGGAAGGGUCAGGGGGCGGCCGGGUCGGGGUCAGCCUUGGGAGGCGUGCCGCGGCCAGACUCGGCGGCGGCGGCGCGGGCCGGCCUGGCUCGGCUGGGCCUUCGGCCCAGUCGGGCGCGGGAUUUUUUUUAACAAUUACGCCGAAACUAAGAAAAAUUCUAGAAAAAUAAAUAAAAAUCUAAAAAUGCCAAAACAAAUUUUCGCCGUCUAAAUAAAAAAUUUAGAACGGGAUGAAUCUUGGCCCUAAAAUGCAGUUUGGAAAAAUGUGCAAUUUUUCCUAAAUUCAAAUAAAAGGCAAAAACUCCAAAAUAAAUCUUAUUUGUUUUUUUAUUAAAUCCUCAAUAUUUCUUUAAUUUGGGAAAGUCAUUUUAUUUCCUCUCUCAUAUUUUUAUAAUAGAAAUAAUUGAAGAUAAAAUAAAUAAAAUCAAAUGAUCCUAUUUUCAAAAUUUGAGAAAACUCAAAUAUGAAAAUAACGAAAAUCCCAACUCUCUCCGAGGGUCCUUGAGUUGCAUAGAAUUUCUGGAUCAGGCCAAAGCAAUAAAAUAUGAUAUGCAGUGAUGAUCUAGUGUAUAACAUUCCAAAUUGAAAAUUUGGGAUGUUACAAACCUACCCCCCUUAAGAUGAAUCUCGCCCUCGAGAUUCGGGCUGGCUAGAAAAUAGGCGAGGGUGGUCCUUCAGCAGAUCCUCCUCUCGCUCCCAGGUGGCUUCAUCCUCGGUGUGGUGGCUCCACUGAACUUUGCAAAAACUUGAUUACCUUGUUGCGGGUGACUCGGUUGGCAUACUCGAGAAUCUUGAUUGGUUUCUCCUCAUAGGUCAAAUCACUAUCCAACUGAAUCGCUUCCAGCGGCACUGUAUCUCUCAGCGGUAUAUCAGCCAUCUCUGCGUGGCACUUCUUCAACUGGGAAACAUGGAAUACAUCGUGAACUCCUGACAAUCCUUCGAGCAACUCCAACUUGUAAGCAACUUCUCCCAUACGCUCCAAAACUUUGUAUGAUCCCACAAAACGUGGCGCCAAUUUUCCCUUAACUCCAAAGCGCUUAGCUCCCCGAAGUGGAGAUACACGAAGACAAACUCUGUCUCCGACUUCGUAAAAUGUCUCCUUGCAUUUAGAAUCUGCAUAGCUCUUCUGCCUGGACUGGGCUACUUUGAGCCUAUCGCGAAUCAACUUCACCUUCUGUUCAGACUCCUUAAUCAAAGCUGGUCCAAACAACUAGCGGUCUCCAACUUAAUCCCAUGACAAUGGGGUCCUGCACCUCCUUCCGUACAUGGCUUCGAAAGGGGCCAUCUUCAAACUGGAUUGAUAACUGUUGUUGUAAGAGAACUCUGCAUACGGCAAAUUGUCGUCCCAACUAGAUCCAUAAUCUAGCACACAAGCUCUCAGCAUAUCCUCCAAAAUCUGAUUUACUCUCUCGCUCUGUCCAUCUGUCUGUGGAUGAAAGGCUGUACUGAACUCUAGCAUGGUUCCCAAAGUUUCGUGCAAUUGAUUCCAGAACUUUGAGGUAAACUGGGUUCCUCUAUCUGAUACGAUGCUCCUCAGAACUCCAUGCAGACAUACGAUCCUGGUCAUGUAUAUCUUAGCCAACUUAGCACUGGUGUAAGUGGUCUUUACUAGGAUGAAAUGGGCUACCUUCAUCAGACGAUCGACUACAACCCAAAUCGAGUCAUAGCCUGAAUGAGUCAUGGGCAAUCCCGUGAUAAAAUCCAUGCCUAACUUAUCCCACUUCCAUUCGGGUAUUGGCAAUGGCUGUAACAAUCCGGCUGGCUUCUGAUGCUCUGCCUUCACUCUCUGACAUACAUCACAAACUGCUACAUACUCCGCAAUAUCCUUCUUCAUUCUGGUCCACCAAAAAGUAUCCUUCAAAUCCAAAUACAUCUUGGUAUUUCCUGGGUGAAUCGAGUACGGUGAAUCAUGGGCCUCUUGCAGAAUCAACUUCUUGCAAAUCAUUAGGCACAUAAAUGCGGUCCUCAAACCAUAAAGUAUCAUGCUCAUCCUCACGAAAUCCCUUAGCUUCUCCCUUGCUCAUUUUCUCCUUUAUAGAGGCAAUCUCCUUGUCAGUCUUCUGAGCUUCUCUGAUCUUAUCCAUUAAGGUGGACUGAAUCUCCAAUGCUGCUACAUAGCCUGUCGGAACUAUUUCCAAACAUAGUUCUCGAAGAUCCUCGGCUAACUCCUUUGGUAACUCUCCGGUCAUGAGAGUAUUGACAUGGCUCUUGCGGCUCAACGCAUCGGCUACUACGUUAGCCUUUCCGGGGUGAUAAUGCAAUCUCAUAUCAUAAUCCUUGAUGAGCUCCAACCAUCUCCUUUGCCUGAGAUUCAGCUCCUUCUGUGUGAAAAUGUACUUCAAACUCUUGUGAUCCGUGUACACAUCACAAUGAUUUCCAAUAAGAAAAAGUCUCCAAGUCUUCAAUGUGUGCACUAUGACUGCUAACUCCAAAUCAUGUGUAGCAUAAUUCAACUCAUGGGGCUUAAGCUGUCGUGAAGCAUACGAAACAACUCUUCCCUCCUGCAUAAGCACUGCUCCAAGUCCUCGACGAGAAGCGUCGCAAUACAUCUCGUAAUCCUUGUGCUGAUCUGUUAGAAUCAACACUGGCGAUGUAACCAAACGUUUCUUCAACUCUCGGAAACUGGCCUCACAUUCCUCAGUCCAAUUGAACUUGGUAUCCUUCUUCAACAACUCCAUCAUGGGCUUUGCAAUCUUCGAGAAAUUCUCAACGAAUCUCCGGUAGUAUCCUGCCAGUCCAAGAAAACUCCGGAUCUCUCCAACUGCCGUUGGUGCUACCCAAUUUGUCACAAUGACAACCUUGGUAGGAUCUACUGCUAUUCCUUCCCCGGAUAUAACAUGUCCGAGGAAUCCAACUUCCUUCAACCAAAACUCACAUUUGCUGAACUUGGCAUAUAACUGAUGUUCUCUGAGCUUCUCCAGUACCAAACGCAAAUGCUCCUUAUGCUCUUCUUCAUUCUUCGAGUAGACCAAAAUAUCAUUAAUGAACACCACGACAAACUUAUCCAGAAACUCCAUAAACACCUUGUUCAUCAUGUUCAUGAAAUAGGCAGGUGCGUUAGUCAGACCAAAUGACAUAACGGUAUACUCAUACAGCCUGUACCUGGUGGUAAAAGCCGUCUUAGGUAUAUCCUGCUCUUGAAUCUUCAACUGAUGGUAUCCCGAUCGCAAAUCGUUCUUGGAAAAUACCUUAGCUCCUUGCAAUUGGUCAAACAAAUCAUUGAUCAUCGGCAACGGGUACUUGUUCUUGAUCGUUACUUCAUUCAGUCCUCGAUAAUCAACAACCAUCCUCAACGAUCCAUCCUUCUUCUCCACUAGAAGCACUAGUGAUCCCCAAGGUGGAGAACUUGGGCGAAUAUAGCCUUUAUCCAGUAACUCCUUAAUCUACCUCUUAAUUUCCUCCAAAUCUUGUGCGGGCAUCCUGUACGGUCUCUUAGAUAUCGGCCCUGUGCCUGGCAGAAGCUCAAUCAAAAACUCAAUGAAUCUAUCCGGUGGCAUGCCUGGCAACUCUUCUGGAAAUACAUCAGGGAAAUCCUUCACCACUGGUACUUUCUCCUGUACAACUCCUGAUAAGGAAUUUACUUGUGUCCUCUUCGGCUCAUGCCGUGAUACAUACUUGAUCCUUCUUCCUUCUGGAGUGGUAAGCAAAAUCGACUUACUGGCGCAAUCGAUGUUUCCUCCAUACAUCGAUAGCCAAUCCAUACCCAGAAUUACAUCCAAACGUUGUGAUUCCAAAAUGAUUAAAUCCGAGGGGAAAACAUGCCUACCUAUACUCAAUGGCACUUGAAAACAUCCUUGACUGGCCAUAUACUCCGCUCCUGGUGAGCCUACUAACAUAGGUGUUCUAAGAACCUUGGAGGGCAGUUUAUAUUUAUCCACAAAUCCCCUUGAUAUGUAUGAAUGCGAUGCACCGGUAUCAAAAAGAAUGAGUGCAGUAAAUGACUUAACCAAAAACUUACCUAUUACUGCAUCUGGUUGGGCUUCAACCUCCUCCACGUUAACGUGGUUCACCUAUCCCCUAUUGAAAGGGUUCGGCUUCUUCCCUGAGCUUCCAUUGCCAUUUCCAUUCUGGGCUUCAGGAUAUUCAUUGGCAUAAUGUCCAGUCUUCUGGCACUUAUAGCAACUGACUUGGCUCAGGUCUCUCUUGGCUGGUGUUGAUGGGUUGGUACGGUUCUGGCCGUUGCUUCCUCCAUUCCUGUUACCAUUCUUGGGGCCAUUAUGAUUAUGCGAGCUACCUCCUCCAUGGGUAUGCUGAAAAUGUCCUCCCGAUUUCGGGGUAAAACGUGGCUUCUGCGGAGGUCCAGAAUUGUACUUCCCUUGUCCAUACUUCCUCUUGCGGUUCUCAAUCUGCUACUGCUUCCCUUCAAUCAUAAGAGCACGAUCUACCAACUCCUGGUAGUUGUUGAAGGUUGCUACCAUCAACUGCAUGCCCAGCUCAUCAUUUAGUCCUUCCAGAAACUUCUCCUGCUUAGCUGCAUCCGUAGCAACGUCGUCUGGGGCAUAACAUGCUAAUUUACUAAAGUCAUCCACAUACUGGCCAACUUUCCGUCCUCCUUGGCGCAAGUUGCGAAACUCACGCUUCUUCAUGGCCAUAGCUCUUGCUGAAACAUGGCCAAUACGGAAAGCCUACUGAAACUGAUCCCAUGUGACAAUGUCGAUAGGAUAAGUGGCUGUGAAAUUCUCCCACCAUGAUGUUGCGGGUCCUUCAAGCUGGUGUGCCGCAAAACGCACCCUCUCCGCAUCUGUGCAUCCUACAGUGGUGAACUCUCUUGCUGUCUUGCAGAGCCAAUCAUCUGCAACUACCGGCUCGGUGCUACUAGAGAACACCGGCGGGUUCAGUCUAAGAAAAUGGGUUAAGUGAUCAACAGGUGGUGGUGGUGGGUUGUUGUUGUUAUUGUUCCCCUGAUUCUGAUUCUAGACUAGCAACUGCAUCAACGCAUCCUGCUGCUGGAUCAACUGGGUGAGCUCCGAUGGGAAAGCAAAUCCGUUGUCACGUCUCGGAGGCAUCUGAGGGUUUUAGAAAAGAUGAGAAUAAAGAAUAGAAUGAGGUCUAGAGAGAAAACACUACCCAUAUGCACAUGAGACAAAUGAAAAAAAUCACUUCAUUCAAUCAAACAAGGGCAUACAACGGUCUAACUAUCAUUACAAAAGUGCUCGGACUAUACUAGAUACAUGGGGGAAAUACUACUACUGUUAUGGUGGUCGACUAGAAAAACUGCUCCGAUGAAGACUCCAUGAUAUCUGCUCCAGCUUCAUCAACAUAGUCAUCAUCGCUAUCGUCCGGGUCCGAGUCAGUGUCGUCGAUGAUGAUGUAGUUCUCUGGACAGGUGUAAUCAUCUUCUCCUCCAGUUGCGGGAAAUCCCAUAAACACUUUAAGCUUCUUCUUCAGAUCAUCGUUCUUCUCCACGAGUGUUGCUAUUUCCUCCUCAUAUCCAUUGCGUGUAGACUUGAGUUCUUCCUCCAGCUCUGUGAUCUUGGUCAUGGCCUUAUUUAGAUCUAUCAUGCCUACGCACAUCUGGUUCUCCUAGCGUCGAAUGUGCUGGUUUAACUCUUGGAUGAAAGCUGCAAUUGAUCUAUCUUUCCUGGUACUGAUCAUCUCCCAUUGCUCAUCUCGGCGCCCACAAAUCUGGUAGAUAGUAUCCUUGAGAUCCUUUUGGUAAACUUCUCCAAUGCGUCCCAUGGUGAUGUGAGCUGCCAUGCUCUUUCCUAGACUCCAGGUUGGUGCAUCGAAUGAAAACUCUAUGGCUCAGUGACGGGCAUGAACGUCCUUCCUGGAACUUGAACUUGAAUCAUCCAGCGCUCCUCUUCAGGUAAGGUGGCGUUGUAGGUCCCGGUGAAGCUUGGUACUCCGAUGUUCAGGUAUCUAGUGACUUCCUUCAAGUGGCGUCCAAAGGGUGUAUCUUCAUCCGGUUGCGUGAACUUGUUCCUUGCAUCCGCCAUCCUAAAAGAAUAGAGAAGAUGAGGAGUCAGAAAUGAGAAGAGUGAGUAGUGAUCUAGGGCUUUUAGCUUAGUGGUCGUGUCCUACAGUCAGCGUGUGCUCUGGUACCAUCUUGUAGCGACCAGACCUCAAACAGUCUGACCUAUGUGCUUUAGUGUCAUCCCUGGAUCAGUAAUGCUGACACGCACAAUACUUGAAGGAUUUAUAAUAGAGUAGCAAGCACACAAUUAUUACAUCUAAUGUCUCAAAAGAGAGCUUAUUACAAUAAAUAUGGCUUAAAGCCAUCUAAUAACGAUAACAGCGGAAGACUUGGAAGAUAAGUGAGACCAUCAACUCCAACGGCAUCACUGAGUAUAGAACCAUGACAUAAAGGCACCUUACUCGUUGUCUGAAAAGUCUGCAACAUGAACGUUGCAGCCCGAAAACGGGUCGGCACAUGGAAUAUGCUGGCAAUGUAAUACAUAGAGAGAAAUGAACAGAAAUAUGCUAUACUACAUGCAUAUAUGGCUGGUGGAAAGCUCUAUGGUUACAGUUUGCAUAAAGCCAAUUUUUCCCUACUGCAAAGGAAUAAAUUUUAUUUAACUAUCAUGGUGGUUGUUAAACAUUGAGAGUGUAGACACCCUCUCAAUCCCAAUUAAACAUCAACAUUAAAACCCAACAAAAUUAAUUAAAGUAACAUGAUGAGAUUCACAUGAUAAUCCAAGUACUAGAUACUAAAGAUGUCCAUAACCGGGGACACGGCUAACCAUGAUUAGUUUAUACACUCUGCAGAGGUUUGCGCACUUUUCCCCACAAGACUCAAUCUCCUCCAUUGGGAUUCUCGCACUACAUGGUGUUUGAGAAACGGAUGACUGAGACAUAGUCUUUCAGAAGCACUAGCACCUUACGAUCGGGUAGACAGUUACACCUACUUUCCCCUACAUCUGCUAGUCUACCACUAUAAGAGUUUGCACGACUUAAUCAACUAUGAUAGAGCCCAUAGUAGCUUGUGGCUGCACACGGAAGUUUCUAGCAUGAAUAAUCUCUUGAUCCCUUUGAGCCUGGGUGGCGGUCCAUAAAGAAAAACAGGCAAUCACUGGAAUACCCAGGUGUCUCAAUCCACCCAGAUGUGUGUUAAAGUUGCCACCUUAAAUAAACCAUUAAAUAACAAUCUCAUAACUGUCAUGGAUACACUAACCCAAUCCACGUCUACUAGCAUAGCAUGGCAUAAUAAGCAAACGUAGAAGUAACUCCCAAGGGUUUGAUAAUAAAACAGGUAAUAGGUACUACCUCAUCUACUUCCCAACCCACAAAUUAAUUAUAUCCUAAUCAUGCAAUAUUUGAGGGUUGAUCUAAUGCAAUAAAAUUGGGUAGUAAAGAGGUAUGAUCAAAGUGUUACUUGCGUUGCUGAUGAUCCGUAAAACCUAAAGAUUCAAAGUAGCAAGCGGCGCACUCCGGGUACUCUAACGCAAACAUACAAGCAUACAAUAAGUAAUUAUCUAAUGCACAGGUAAAACUCAAGUAAGAGAUCUAACCAGAAAGUUCAACUUAAGAACUCCGGUUUGCAAAAAGAAUCAAAUCGAACGAAGCAACGAAAAUCAAACGGCGAAAGAAACAAGCUUCGUCUACUAAUCUGGACCUAAGUCAAAUUUUACAGAAGCAAAAACUUGUUUGAGUGGGUUAAACGAAAAGAGGGUUUCGAGACGAAACUCUAGGCGCUUGAAUCGCCUGAGUCCGAUAAACGAGCAAAAAGUUAUACUAGAACGAAAAUCGGAUCUGGAAGCGCGAUCAGAAAUAACCGUGGAAAAUCCGAGAAAAAGAAAAACUGAUGAACAGAUUAAGGAACGAACGUUUGUUAACUGAAACUAAAUGGUGAACUCGUCUGUUACAACGAAUGAACGGGCGAACGCUCGCUAUAAAGAUAAACCGAAAAAAAUAAACCGAUCUAUUCUAAAAAAAUGAAAACUAGGGUUUCUAAAAAAACGGAUCAGGUUUUUUUUAAAAGCCGGACCACGGUGGCGGCGGCUAUACCUCCGACAGGGCGAGGCGGCGUGGGGCUCCGGUGACGGCGGCUGGUGUCGGCGGCGGCGGCUACGNNNNNNNNNNNNNNNNNNNNNNNNNNNNNNNNNNNNNNNNNNNNNNNNNNNNNNNNNNNNNNNNNNNNNNNNNNNNNNNNNNNNNNNNNNNNNNNNNNNNNNNNNNNNNNNNNNNNNNNNNNNNNNNNNNNNNNNNNNNNNNNNNNNNNNNNNNNNNNNNNNNNNNNNNNNNNNNNNNNNNNNNNNNNNNNNNNNNNNNNNNNNNNNNNNNNNNNNNNNNNNNNNNNNNNNNNNNNNNNNNNNNNNNNNNNNNNNNNNNNNNNNNNNNNNNNNNNNNNNNNNNNNNNNNNNNNNNNNNNNNNNNNNNNNNNNNNNNNNNNNNNNNNNNNNNNNNNNNNNNNNNNNNNNNNNNNNNNNNNNNNNNNNNNNNNNNNNNNNNNNNNNNNNNNNNNNNNNNNNNNNNNNNNNNNNNNNNNNNNNNNNNNNNNNNNNNNNNNNNNNNNNNNNNNNNNNNNNNNNNNNNNNNNNNNNNNNNNNNNNNNNNNNNNNNNNNNNNNNNNNNNNNNNNNNNNNNNNNNNNNNNNNNNNNNNNNNNNNNNNNNNNNNNNNNNNNNNNNNNNNNNNNNNNNNNNNNNNNNNNNNNNNNNNNGGAGUGCCCCGGCCAGACUCAGCGGCGGCGCGGGCCGGCUUGGCUCGGGUGGGCCUUCGGCCCAGUUGGGAGCGGGAUUUUUUUAAAACAAUUCUGCCGAAGCUAAGAAAAAUUCUAGAAAAAUAAAUAAAAAUAUAAAAAUGCCAAAACAAAUUUUCACCCUCUUAAUAAAAUAUUUAGAACGGGAUGAACAUUUUCUUGGUCCUAAAAUGCAGUUUUGAAAAACGUGCAAUUUUUCCUAAAUUCAAAUAAAAGGUAAAAACUCCAAAAUAAAUCUUAUUUGAUUUUUUAUUAAAUCCUCAAUAUUUCUUUAAUUUGGUAAAGUCAUUUUAUUCCCUCUCUCAUAUUUUUAUAAUAUAAAUAACUAAAGAUAAAAUAAAUAAAAUCAAAUGAUCCUAUUUCCAAAUUUGAGAAAACUCAAAUAUGAAAAUAAUGAAAAUCCCAACUCUCUUCGAGGGUCCUUGAGUUGCGUAGAAUUUCUGGAUCAGGCCAAAGCAAUAAAAUAUGAUAUGGAAUGGUGAUCCAAUGUAUAACAUUCGAAAUUGAAAAUUUGGGAUGUUACAGCAAGUGAAAGGCAAUAAUGACGAUGUAUGAUGGACUUAUUGAGAUGAGAAAAGCUGGUAUGAACUCGACCUAUCUUGUUUUGUAAAUAUGAUGAGUUGAUCGUUUCUGAUUCAGCUAAUUAUGAGGUAAACAUAUUUGCAAUGACAUUUAGAGAUUAUAGUUGCUUGUGCCAUGCUUGAUUAGCUAUGAGUUAUAAUGGUUUACCUUGCGUGCCAACAUGCUAUUAGAAUGAUUAUGAUGUGGUUAGAUGGGAUGGUAUCCUCCUUAGAAUGAAUUGAGUGACUCGACUUGGCACAUGUUCACGCAUGUAGUUCAAACAAAUCAACAUAGCCUUCACGAUAUUUAUGUUCAUGGUGGAUUAUAUCCUACUCAUGGUUGUACUCGGUGUGAAUUAAUUUUAAUGCAUGUUUAUGACUGUUGUCGCUCUCUCAGUUGGUCGCUUCCCAGUCUUUUGCUAGCCUUCACUUGUACUAAGCGGGAAUACUGCUUGUGCAUCCAAACUCCUUAAAACCCCAAAGUUGUUCCAUAUGAGUCCACCAUACCUUCCUAUAUGCGGUAUUUACCUGCCGUUCCAAGUAAAUUUGUAAGUGCCAAACUCCAAACCUUCAAAUGAAAUUCUAUUUUGUAUGCUUGAGCAACUCAUGUUUCAACUAGGGGUGCCUAUAUCUUCCAUGCUAGGUGGGUUAUUCUUAAGAGGACUGGACUCUGCUCCUCAUUCACGAGAAAGGGCCGGUAACCGGGAUGCCCAGUCCUAUGAUCCAAAAAGAUCAAAGCAAAUCAAAAUAAUUAAACAAAACUCCGCCAGGGCUGUUGUUAGUUGGAGGCACUCGUUGUUUCUAGCAAGCCAUGGAUUGAUGCUUGUUGGUGGUUGGGGGAGUAUAAACCUUUACCAUUCUAUUUGGGAACUGCCUAUAAUGCAUGUAGUAUGGAAGAUACAACCAUAUCAUAGUUGUUGCAUUGACAGUGAAAGUAUGCCGCUCAAAAUUUUAUUCAAUCUCUAUUUGAAAAUCGAGCUCUGGCACCUCUACAAAUCCCUGCUUCCCUCUGUGAAGGGCCUAUCUAUUUACUUUUAUGUUGAGUCAUCACCCUUCUUAUUAAAAAGCACCCACUGGAGAGCACACUGUCAUUUGCAUUCAUUAUUAUUGGUUUAUAUUGGGUAUGACUUAACUGGAUCUCUUUCACCAUGAAUUACAAUGUUUAGUCAGUCCUUGAUCUUUAAAGGUGCUCUGCAUCUAUGUUUUGCGGUCUUAGAAAGGGCUAGCGAGAUACCAUUUUGUUAUAUCAUGUUAUGAUUGUUUUGAGAAAGUGUUGUCAUCCGAGUUAUAUUAUUAUGGCUCGCUAGCUGAUUAUGCUAUUGAUAUGAGUAAUUGUGAGACCGAGGUGUUAUUGUGAGUAUGGUUAGUUCAUAAUAUUUGCUGAAACCUGAAUGGUGGCUUUGCAUGUUUACAACAACAAGAGCAAAUAGAGUUUGUAAAAGUUUUUCUUUAUCACUUUCAGUUUAUCAACUGAAUUGCUUGAGGACAAGCAAAGGUUUAAGCUUGGGGGAGUUGAUACGUCUCCAACGUAUCUACUUUUCCAAACACUUUUACCCUUGUUUUGGACUCUAUUUAGCAUGAUUUUAAUGAAAUUAACCCGGACUGACGCUGUUUUCAGCAGAACUGCCAUGACAUUGUUUUAUGUGUAGAAAACAAAAGUUCUCAGAAUGUUCUGAAAAUCCAUGGAGGCACUUUUUGGAAAAUAUAAAAAUACUGGCGAAAGAAUCAAGACCAGGGGGGCCACAACCUGUCCACGAGGGUGGGGGCGCGCCCACCCCCUGGGCGCGCUCCCUGUCUCGUGGGCCCCCUGAGGCUCCGCCGACCUCAACUCCAACUCCAUAUAUUCCGUCUCGCGGAGAAAAACAUCAGAGAAAGUUUCAUUAUGUUUUACGAUACGGAGCCAUCGCCAAGCCCUAAUCUCACUCAGGAGGGCUGAUCUGGAGUCCGUUCGGGGCUCCAGACAGGGGGAUUCAUCAUCGUCGUCAUCAUCAACCAUCCUCCAUCACCAAUCUCCUGAUGCUCACCACCGUGCGUGAGUAAUUCCAUCGUAGGCUUGCUGGAGGGUGAUGGGUUGGAUUAGACUUACCAUGUAACCAAGUUAGUUUUGUUAGGGUAUGAUCCCUAGUAUCCACUAUGUUCUGAGAUUGAUGUUGCUAUGACUUUGCUAUGCUUAAUGCUUGUCACUAGGGCCCGAGUGCCAUGAUUUCAGAUCUGAACCUAUUAUGUUUUCAUGAAUAUAUGUGUGUUCUUGAUCCUAUCUUGCAAGUCUAUAGUCACCUAUUAUGUGUUAUGAUCCGACAAUCCCGAAGUGACAAUAAUCGGGAUACUUCUCGAUGAUGACCGUAGUUUGAGGAGUUCAUGUAUUCACUAUGUGCUAAUGCUUUGCUCCGGUUCUCUAUUAUAAGGAGGCCUUAAUAUCCCUUAGUUUCCGCUAGGACCCCGCUGCCACGGGAGGGUAGGACAAAAGAUGUCAUGCAAGUUCUUUUCCAUAAGCACGUAUGACUAUUUACGGAAUACAUGGCUACAUUACAUUGAUGAAUUGGAGCUAGUUAUGUGUCACCAACACCUCCGCCAUCUUCACCAACAUCUCCAUCACCUUCCUCCAUCUAUAUUAAAUGGUCCACUCUCCCGCUACGCGUUGUACCCUCUACUUGAACAUGGUGCUUUAUGCUUCAUAUUAUUAUCCAAUGAUGUGUUGCCAUCCUAUGAUGUCUGAGUAGAUUUUCGUUGUCCUAACGGUGAUUGAUGAAUUGCUAUGAUUUGUUUGAAUUGCAUGUUUUAUUGUUGGUGUUGUCCUAUUGUGCCCUCUGUGUCACGCAAGCAUGAGGGAUCCCCGCUGUAGGGUUUGCAAUAUGUUCAUGAUUUGCUUAUGUUGGGUGGCGUGAGUGAUAGAAGCACAGACCCGAGUAAGUAGGUUGUUUGCGUAUGGUAUAAAGGGGACUUGAUGCUUUAAUGCUAUGGUUGGGUUUUACCUUAAUGAUGUUUAGUAGUUGUGGAUGCUUGCUAGAGUUCCAAUCAUAAGUGCAUAUGAUCCAAGAAGAGAAAGUAUGUUAGCUUAUGCCUCUCCCUCAAAUAAAAUUGCAAUAGUGAUUACCGGUCUAUUAACGUAGUCGAUUGCUUACGGACACUUUCACAACUCCUACCACCACUUUUCCACACUCUCUAUAUUUACUUUAUUGCGUCUUUAUCUAAACAGCCCCUACUUUUUAUUUACGUGUUAUUUAUAUUCUUGCAAACCUAUCUAACAACACCUACAAAGUACUUGUAGUUUCAUACUUGUUUUAGGUAAAGCGAACACUAAGCGUGUGUAGAGUCGUAUCAGUGGCAGAUAGGACUUGAGAGAAUAUUUGUUCUACAUUUAGCUCCUCGUUGGGUUCGACACUCUUACUUAUCGAAAGAGGCUACAAUUGAUCCCGUAUACUUGCGGGUUAUCAAGACCUUUUUCUGGCACCGUUGCCGGGGAGUCAUAGCGUGGGGUGAAUAUUCUCGUGUGUGCUUGUUUGCUUUAACACUAAGUAAUCUUUAUUUGUUUUUCUAAGUUGUUCUUUAUCUUUAGUUAUGGAUAUGGAACACGCAAUACCAAAAAAAUUAGGUGUACUUGCUACUUAUGGAGAUGGGGAACCUCCUAAAACCCUCGAUGAUCAUCAUGUGAGAAAUAUUUUGUACUAUUUUGAUAAUCCUGAGAAAACCCCAUUCAACUUUAUAAUGGGAGUAACGUUGGAUCAACGUGAAUAUUUUAGGGAUUAUCACUUGACACAAAAAGGGAAACUAUCAUGGGAUCAAAUUAAUAUGUUGCAUUGGUAUGCUCGGGAUCUAUGCUUGAGAUAUGAUAUUACUUGUUGAUCUAGGAUGAAGGCUCCACACCUUCCCUUUUCAUGCAAAUUUAAUGAUAAUGAAACCUUAGCUUCUUAUGCUAAUGGUAUAUAUCAUUACUAUGAUGUUGAACGAAUUGAAGAAUUUGUUGCUUUUAAGGCUGCUUAUGAAAUUGAAUCUUUGUUUGAAAAGUAUGAAGCUUUAGAUGAUGAUGUUUAUAGGCCUGAAAAUUUUGCUAUAUUGAAAUAUUGCUAUGAAAAUUAUGAAUACAAUUACAAUAUUAAUGCAUUUAUUGAGAAAGUCUCCGCUGUCCAAGAAGAGACUAAUAUUUUGUAGGAACCUAUGGAAGAAGAAAUUGAUGAAACUAUGAGCUCAUUGGAUGAAAAAGAUGAUGAGGAGAGCGAAGAACAAAAGGAGGAAGAGCGGAUUGAUCACCCGUGCCCACCUUCUAAUGAGAGUAACUCUUCAACUCAUACAUUGUUUAAUUCCCCUUCAUGCUUACCGAAGGAUGAUUGCUAUGAUCUCGUUGAUUCUCUUGAAAUAUCCCUUUUUGAUGAUGCUUGCUAUGCUUGUGGCCAAGAUGCCAAUAUGAAUUAUGCUUAUGGAGAUGAACUUUCUAUAGUUCCUUAUGUGAAACAUGAAAUUGUUGCUAUUGCACCCAAGCUUGAUAGUCCUAUUAUCUUUUUGAAUUCUCCCGACUACACUAUAUCGGAGAAGUUUGCGCUUAGUAAGGAUUAUAUUGAUGGGUUGCCUUCUACCAUUGCACAUGAUGAUUUUGAUAGAUAUAAUAUGCAUGUGCUUGCUGCUCCUACUUGCAAUUAUUAUGAGAGAGGAACUAUAUCUCCACCUCUCUAUGUUUCCAAUAUGAUAGAAUUGCAAGAAACUGUUUAUACUAUGCAUUGGCCUUUACUUGGUGUGUAUGAAUUGUUCUUUUAUGACACGCCGAUGCAUAGGAAGAGAGUUAGACUUCGUCAUUGCUUGAUAUAUGUUACUUUGUGCUCACUACUAAAUUACAAAUCAUUGUUAAUUAAAAUUGGCUUUGAUAUACCUUGGGAUCCGGGUGGAUUCAUUACUUGAGCACUAUAUGCCUAGCUUAAUGGCUUUAAAGAAAGCGCUGCCAGGGAGACAACCCGGAAGUUUUAGAGAGUCAUUUAUUUCUGUUGACAGCUUUUAUAUAGUAUAAAAACAAAAAAAAAUAAAGAGGGGAAACUAAAAACUUUUCAAAAAGGAAAGUGAAAGUGAGAGAGACAAGCAUUGUUGAAGUGGGAGCUAGCCUUGAACUUUGUUCAUGCUCACGGAAACUUUGUGAAUCUUAAUUACUUAAAAUUUUCAUCAAAAAUAAUUAUCCCCUUGUACAAUUCCUUUGUAUUAUAAAAAUAAUGUGCCAAGGUUUGCCUUUAGGAUGUUUACAAUGCUUGUUGGUUUGUACGAUGCUGGACAAAAACUUUGGCUGUAGUGCGCGAUUUUACAUUUUUUACUGGAACAUCAAAUGGUUCUGAUUCCUUUAGCACUAUCUUGCCGUGCAAAUUGUUUAUUGUUCCUAAUUUGGGUAGAAUUUUUGGGGUACCAGAAGUAUGGUGAAUGUUCAGAUUCCUACAGACUGUUCUGUUUUUGACAGAUUCUGUUUUUGAUGCAUAGUUUGCUUGUUUUGAUGAAUCUAUCAAUUUAUAUCAGUGGAUUAAGCAAUGGAAAAGCUAUAUUACAGUAGACACAAUGCACAAACAAAAUAUGAAUUGGUUUGCUACAGUACUUAGAGUGGUGAUUUGCUUUAUUAUACUAACGGAUCUUACCGAGUUUUCUGUUGAAGUUUUGUGUGGAUGAAGUGUCUAACUGAGGAGGUCUCGAUAUGAGGAAGAGGAAGAGAGGCAAGAGAUCAAGCUUGGGGAUGCCCGAGGCAUCCCAAGUAAAUAUUCAAGGAGACUCAAGCGUCUAAGCUUGGGGAUGCCCCAGAAGGCAUCCCCUCUUUCUUCAACAAGUAUCAGUAUGUUUUCGGAUUCGUUCCGUUCAUGCAUUAUGUGCAAGUCUUGGAGCGUCUUUUGCAUUUAGUUUUCAUUUUUAUUUUAUGCACCAUUCUGGUAUGAGAUAGUCCUUGGUUGAUUUAUAUAAUGCUCAUUCCACCUCACUUAAAUCUUUUGAGUAUGGCUUUAUAGAAUGCUUCAUGUGCUUCGCUUAUAUUAUUUGAAGUUUGGAUUGCCUGUUUCUCUUCAUAUAGAAAACCGCCAUUUGUAGAAUGCCCUUUUGCUUCACUUACAUUUGUUAGAGCGUGGGCAUAUCUUUUGUAGAAAGAAUUAAACUCUCUUGAUUCACUUAUAUCUAUUUCGAGAGAUGACAGGAAUUGGUCAUUCACUUGGUUAGUCAUAAAAUCCUACAUAAACUUGUAGAUCGCUGAAUAUGAUAUGUUUGAUUCCUUGCAAUAGUUUUGCGAUUUAGUGAUGAUAAUAUGUGGGAGGUACUAGUAGAUGUUUGUGUUCAUUAAUGAUGUUGGUGUUAAGGUUUGUGAUUCCCGAAGCAUGCACGUAUGGUCUACUAACUAUGUAACCAAAUUGGCGUGCAUUGUAUUUGGAUUGUUUAUCUUUGCGUGAAGGUCAGGGGCGCGCGAUGGUUAACUCCUACCAACCUCCCCCCUAGGAGUAUGCGUGUAGUACUUUGUUUCAAGGGCUUUUAAAUUUUUGCAAUAAGUAUGUGAGUUCUUUAUGACUAAUGUUGAGUCCAUGGAUUAUACACACUUUUACCUUUCCAUCAUUACUAGCCUCUUCGGUACCGUGCAAUGCCCUUUCUCACCUUGAGUGUUGGUGCAAACUUCGCCGGUGCAUCCAAACCCCGUGAUAUGAUACGCCCUAUCACACAUAAGCCUCCUUAUAUCUUCCUCAAAACAGCCACCAUACCUACCUAUCAUGGCAUUUCCAUAACUAUUCCAAGAUAUAUUGCCAUGCAACUUCCAUCAUCAUCAUAUACAUGACUUGAGCAUUCAUUGUCAUAUUGCUUUGCAUGAUCGUAAGAUAGCUAGCAUUAUGUUUUCAUGGCUUGUCCGUUUUUUGAUGUCAUUGCUAUGCUAGAUCAUUGCACAUCCCAGUACACCACCGGAAGCAUUCAUAUAGAGUCAUAUAUUUGUUCUAGUAUCAAGUUCUAAUAUUGAGUUGUAAGUAAAUAAAGUGUGAUGAUCAUCAUUAUAGAGCAUUGCCCCAUGAAAAAAGGAAAAGAAAAAAGAAAAAAAGGGGACAGGCCAAAGAAGCCUAAAUAAAAGGGGUCAAAGAAGCCCACCCAAAAAAAGAAAAAAAGAAAAAGAAAAAAGGGCAAUGUUACUAUCCUUUUACCACACUUGUGCUUCAAAGUAGCACCAUGUUCUUCAUAUAGAGAGUCUCCUAUAGUGGUAAUUUUAACUAUAGAACUUGGCUUGUAUAUUCCAACGAUGGGCUUCCUCAAAUGCCCUAGGUCUUCAUGAGCAAGCAAGUUGGAUGCACACCCACUUAGUUUUUAGUUUGAGCUUUCAUACACUUAUAGCUCUAGUGCAUCCGUUGCAUGGCAAUCCCUACUGCUCGCAUUGACAUCAAUUGAUGGGCAUCUCCAUAGCCCAUUGAUUAGCCGCAUCAAUGUGAGACUUUCUCCCUUUUUGUCUUCUCCACAUAACCUCCACCAUCAUAUUCUAUUCCACCCAUAGUGCUAUAUCCAUGGCUCACGCUCAUGUAUUGCGUGAAGGUUGAAAAAGUUUGAGAAUACUAAAGUAUGAAACAAUUGCUUGGCUGACACCGGGAUAGGCAUGAGGGGUACCUUGUGUUAAGAAAAGGGAGCAUACAAGACUAUAUGAUUUUUUAGGGAUAAUGUUCUGAAGCAUUGAUAUUUUGAAAGACAUGAUUGUUUGUUGGGAUGUCCUAAGUAUUAUUGUUUUUAUGUCAAAUGAUAGACUAUUGCUUUGAAUCACUCGUGUCUUAAUAUUCAUGCCAUGAUUAGACAUAUGAUCAAGAUUAUGCUAGGUAGCAUUCCACAUCAAAAAUUAUCUUUUUUAUCAUUUACCUACUCGAGGACGAGCAGGAAUUAAGCUUGGAGAUGCUAAUACGUCUCCGUUGUAUCUAUAAUUUUUGAUUGUUCCAUGCCAAUAUUAUUCAACUUUCAUAUACUUUUGGCAACUUUUUAUUCUAUUUUUCGGACUAACAUAUGGAUCCAGUUCCCAGUGCCAGUUCCUGUUUGUUGCAUGUUUUAUGUUUCGCAGAAACCCAAUAUCAAACGGAAUCCAAACGGGAUAAAAACGGACGGAGAAUUAUUUUGGAAUAUUUGGGAUUUUCUGGAGGAAGGAUCAACGCGAAACGGUGUCCGAGGUGGCCAGGAGAUAGGGGGGUGCCCCUCCCCCCGUGGGCACACCUGACACUCUCCUGGGCCACCCGUAAGGCGGUUGAAGCUCUUCUUUUGCCGCAAGAAAGCUAAUUUUAUGAGAAAAAUCUGGGCAAAAGAUUCACCCCAAUCGGAGUUACGGAUCUCCGAAUAUAAAAGAAACGGUGAAGGGGCAGAAUCUGAGAACGCAAAAACAGAGAGAGACACAGAGAUAGAUCCAAUCUCGGAGGGGCUCUCGCCCCUCCCAUGCCAUGGGAGCCAAGGACCAGAGGGGGAACCCUUCUCCCAUCUAAGGAGGAGGUCAAGGAAGAAGAAGAAGAAGGGGGGCUCUCUCCCCCUUGCUUCCGAUGGCGUCGGAGCGCUGCCGGGGGCCAUCAUCAUCACCGCGAUCUUAACCAACACCUCCGCCAUAUUCACCAACAUCUCCAUCACCUUCCCCCAUCUAUAUUCAGCGGUCCACUCUCCCGCAACCCGUUGUACCCUCUACUUGAACAUGGUGCUUUAUGCUUCAUAUUAUUAUCCAAUGAUGUGUUGCCAUCCUAUGAUGUUUGAGUAGAUUUUCGUUGUCCUAUCGGUGAUUGAUGAAUUGCUAUGAUUGGUAUGAAUUACAUGUUUUAUUAUUGGUGCUGUCCUAUUGUGCCCUCCGUGUCGCGCAAGCAUGAGGGAUCCCCGCUAUAGGGUUUGCAAUAUGUUCAUGAUUUGCUUAUGGUGGGUGGCGUGAGUGACAGAAGCACAGACCCGACUAAGUAGGUUGUUUGUGUAUGGGAUAAAGGGGACUUGAUGCUUUAAUUCUAUGGUUGGGUUUUACCUUAAUGAUCUUUAGUAGUUGCGGAUGCUUGCUAGAGUUCCAAUCAUAAGUGCAUAUGAUCCAAGAAGAGAAAGUAUGUUAGCUUAUGCCUCUCCCUCAAAUAAAAUUCCAAUAGUGAUUACCGGUCUAUUAACGUAGUCGAUUGCUUAGGGACACUUUCACAACUCCUACCACCACUUUUCCACACUCGCUAAAUUUACUUUAUUGCAUCUUUAUCUAAACAGCCCCUACUUUUUAUUUACUCUUUCUUUAUAUUCUUGCAAACCUAUCCAACAACACCUACAAAGUACUUCUAGUUUCAUACUUGUUUUAGGUAAAGCGAACACUAAGCGUGCAUAGAGUCAUAUCAGUGUCAGAUAGGACUUGAGAGAAUAUUUGUUCUACCUUUAGCUCCUCGUUUGGUUCGACACUCUUACUUAUCGAAAGAGGCUACAAUUGAUCCCGUAUACUUGUGGGUUAUCACCAGGUUCGGGCCCUCUCGAUGGAGGUAAUACCCUACUUCCUGCUUGAUUGAUCUUGAUGAUAUGAGUAUUACAAGAGUUGAUCUACCAUGAGAUGGUAGAGGCUAAACCCUAGAAGCUAGCCUAUGAUUAUGAUUGUUGUUCUCCUAUGGACUAAGCCCUCCGGUUUAUAUAGACGCCAGAGGGGGGCUAGGGUUACACAAAGUCGGUUACAAAGAAGGAGUUCUACAUAUCCGAAUAGCCAAGCUUGCCUUCCAUGCAAAGGAGAGUCCCACCCGGACACAGGACGAAGUCUUCAAUCUUGUAUCUUCAUAGUCCAACAGUCCGACAUAAGUACAUAGUCCGGCUGUCCGAGGACCCCCUAAUCCUAGACUCCCUCAGUAGCCCCUGAACCAAGCUUCAAUGACGAUGAGUCCGGCGCGCAGAUUGUCUACGGCAUUGCAAGGCGGGUUCCUUCUCCGAAUACUCGAAGGUAGAUUUUGAACACAUGAAUCGUGUCCAGCUCUGCAAAACAAAUUCCACGUACCACCGUAGAGAGGACAAUAUUCCACAAAUCUAAUCUGCUGACAACUUUUCAUAGCGUGACAUCACGUCGCGGCCCGGUCAUUAUACGAGCCGUUUUUCUCAACCUGCUACUACACGUCUCGUGAGGCAGUUUUAUUGGCACGUCUUGUCGAAGCAGAGAUCGUGUUCCCCUUAUCACGGGAUUCUCAUUAAUACGAGCGCGGGUAACCCUUCCGUGCCGUUAGUAUGACUCCUCGGUUUAGGCAAGUUCCAAACGGCCACGCGGAGGACGCUUGAUAUUCACCCUCUUUACAAAGAUGUCAAGACCUGUCCUUUUCUUUCCAUGCCCGAUCCUUCCCUUCCCCUUCCUCGAGUUCCAACACCCAAGUUUUAGUCUAAGUGCUCCAGACCUUCAACUAUGUCCGGAUCCAACCUUCAAGGCCAUUGGAUGGCCUCUUCCAUCACAGAGGAGGACAUCAAGAAGCUUAGGGGGGCUAGGUAUCUGACCGCUGAAAUCCUUCACAGGCUACCUACUCAAGGGCAGGUUAUCCCCACUCCCGAACCCAACAAGAGUGUCGUAUUCAUCUCCCACUUCCUCCGAGCGCUAGGCUUUAGUCUUGAUCCCUUCGUUAAAGGGCUCAUGUUCUAUUACGGGCUAGAUUUUCAUGAUCUAGCUCCAGAUUCCUUCCUUCACAUCUCGUCGUUUAUCGUCGUGUGUGAGGCCUUCCUUCGCAUUACCCCACACUUCGGCUUAUGGCUCAAGACCUUCAAUGUGAAGCCAAAGAUGAUCGACGGGCGACACGCGAAGUGCGGAGGCGCUAUAAUAAGCAAAGGUGCCGAUGCCUUAUGGCCAAAGGGUUCCUUCCCGGAGGUGUCCGACCUAUGGUAACAGGAGUGGUUUUACAUCACAGAACCCGAGGUACAAAGUGGGCAGCCACCCCGGCCUUGCGCUCUGCCCCUCCGCCAGAACUGACAUCAUGGGUCAACAAGGGGCUGGACUGGGGACCAGUUAAUGACGUGCUGACAUUGUAAAGCCGCAUCGGAGAUAUCCUCAAGAGGGAUAUCAGUAUCAUCAAAGUAAUUCAAGUAAUGUUAGUUCGUCGGGUCCUGCCAUGCCAAUGUCGAUCUCUCCGCAUGUGGGAGUUCAACCCGGAAGGACCGCGAACCAUUCAACACUUCUUCGGCAUGACGCUCGAAGGGAUGUAUCGAUUAUUCUUCGGAUCAUGAGUAAAGUGUCCGGACACAACAUAGGAUGCGGGUCUCAACUGCAACCGUCCAGAUACCCAAGUAAGUAACUCCGCGACCGAACAUGCUGUCAUUAUAUUUGUCACAACAUUAUUCUGAAAAAUCACCCUUGGCUAGGAUUGGAUAAGAAAGGCGGAGAGAUCAGGUGUUCGGCCCCUGUUCCCGAGGGCUCACCGGAUCUUGUACUAACCAGGAUGCUGACUCGUGCACCUUAUCAAGUGCCAUCGGGGGAGAACGAGGGGAGGAAUAGGGAAGCCAAAAGCGGGCUUCAUGCUGGGGGUACAUUACGAAUUCUAACCGGGGGAAUUAGUGCCCCCGAGUUUGAGGAUGAUCGAGGAGGAGAAUCUAGAAUCCCCUCUCCCCACGGGAAGAAAAUGAUCGCCCAUGAAGACUUGGAAAUGGAGGUUUCCAAACGGGGGAAGAAACCUUCCCCAGGGGGUCCUGCCCCGGAGGGCACCCUUACCGCACAGCACCCACAAGGGGGCCAGCCGUCAACCGAGCCGUGAGUGAACAAAGGCACUUUAGUAAGCAUGCCCUGCUCUUUUCCUGAGAAUAACAACCGAGACAUAUGUUUUGUAGUCCGGCUAGCCCUUCUCAACAAUGUUCGUCCUCGGGGGAUCUUCUUCCAGAGAUGAUGGAGAGCGAAACGCCCCCCUGCUUCCCCACCACAUGAGGAGGACGACCUUGAGGUGUCAUCCCGGAGGAUCUCUCCUGAUCCGGAAAGGCUAGAGGGUAACUCUUCGGCCGCCCGAAGUCCGGAGUUCUCGGCUCCUAAGGAGAGCAACAGGAAAAGCCCGGGAUUUUCCGGUGUACAUCCGGACAAAUUGAUGGGUCUUCUGGAGCAAGAGGCUAUCUCAGAGGCACAUCAUACCUUAAUGGGUACGGUGGUUGAGAGGAUUUCAGCCGCAAAAAGCGGAUUGAAUGAAGCUUUUACAAGCCUGCUAGGAGGCUUUGAGGUACGCAAAGUGAUAUAUAUAUAUAUAUUUGACUGUACCGCACAUGCAAGGUGUGCUUUGUAUAGAUAGUAGCCCCUGAGACUCUGGUUGCCGUCCAGAUGAGGCGAGCAGAGGAUCAUAGUCUCACGUAAUGAUAGUGCUGCUUUCGUGCGCAGGUAGCUGCACAUCGGGCGGCUGACCGGACUGCUGAAUAUGCCGAAUUGAGGCGGCAACUUGACAUGGCGGAUGCGGACAUCACGCUUGUGAACAAGCGGCUUGACGAGGCUCAGGGUAUGUAUAUUCGAGUGGUCAGCAAAUAUUAAGAAGAGCAUGAUGCUAGUAUUUAUAGUAUGCUUUGACUUCAAAUGGAGCUGCCGCCGUGGAGACCCUUCGGGCAGAACUUGCCCGAGCCAAGGAGCAAGCCAGGAAAAGUGAUGCGGGCGCCCUAAAGGCAGCCGAAGAAUUAAAAGCCGAACAGGCUGCUCAUUGCCAAAGUGAACUUAAAAUAGUCAACAUGGCUAUUGAGCUACAAAACUCCGUCAGCCGAUAUGAGCUUCUCAAAAGGGAAAACCAAAUGAAAACGGCUGACCUAGAGAAGGCCUUGCAAGAAGCAAAGGAAACUCGCUCUAAAAUCAGAGCGGCGCGGGAGGAGCUUCGGCAAGCCGGUGAUAUCGCGGCUGGGAGGCCCUUUUUAUUGCGAACGAAGUUCGGCGAUCCGAAAUAUGCCCCUCUUGAUCAAUUGUGGAGUUCUGCAGACACAUACUUGGAUUUAACAAAGAGUCCUGCUGACGCGACGGAGUUUUUCAAAGAUCGGAAAGAUCAUGAGGUGGAAAGAUUGUUCUGGUCGCAGUUCAGUGCUCCAAAGCGGCUGAUGCUGUUGAAUGAGCAAAUGGCUGAGUGGGCCGAGCUCCAUAGGUUAUCCGGGCUUGCCAUGAAGGCUGUCGUGGAUCAUUUGUGACCGAAGGAGCCGAGCCCGGGUAGUUAUUUUGGUUUGGUGCAAUGAUUUCUUCGUGCUGUGUGGCAUAUCGAUGCUGUCAAGAGGUCGACGUGCAUAGAGGGUGCACGGAUGGCUCUUGCCCGUAUUAAGACAUAUUGGGCAAACAUGGAGGCCACCGAUAUUGCAACCAGGGGUCCGCCCGGGGUUCAGGACUCGCCCGAGCACUAUUUUGAAGAAGUCCUAGAAGGUGCCCGUUUAAUAGAGGCUCAGUGCUCAAAGAAUACCAUAUUCCAGUGACAUGUAUCUUGAUUGUAAAAACAAUGCUUUUGAUAAUAAAGGCUAUAUUUAUAUUUUUGCCCGUAAAGUAUUGUAGUGCCUCCUGUGCAGCCGUUUAUGUAUGUAUGUAUAUAACCUAAAAGUUUGCAGUCGUCGACUUCAGCCCCCACACAUAUAAUGCGGGGUGUUCGGCAAAGUGCGUAAUCACACUUGAUCCAACGUCUUGGUCCGUUGAGGAGGUGAUAGCGUGGUGAACAAGGCAAUCAGACUAUAUAGCUUUAACACUUUCACUUAGCCAUAGGAGUUUGAUGGUGGGGCUACUAUAUAGCCCCUUGUAUGUCCAUGCUCAUUCGAAUACGGUGCGUGUACAUACGUGACCGGGAAACCGGUCCUUCGUUAAUGCGGAGGAAUCACGGAGAUUCCGCUGGGUCAUUGAGUGGUUGACCAGUCUCUCGCUUUAUCAUGACAACCGGUUUUCGGCUUUCUCCAUUGAUGUGACGCCCGAAGAGUUAUGCUACAGUAACCCUCUACUAAUGAUGCCACAUCACCACGGUUACUGUUGUUAGUCUCGCGGUGAGUCAAGUCCCAUUCAAAUUCAAAUAACAAGUGAAACUCUAAACUUCUCAAACAUUAAUUCUAAAAUGUUCAUGAUAUGGCAAAUAAUCCCUAAAUAAUUUUGGUGGUGGAAGCAACCUUUUUCAAAAUGUUUGAAUGCCGUAAACUAAAUAAAAACAGUGGCUGAAAUAACAAUUUAAUUACUUUUUAAAUUAUGAAAAUAUUAAACUAACUUAUUUUGGGUCCAAACCAGGUUUGGUAAUGGCCUAUAUUAAUGAUACUAAUUUAGCUGCUAACUUGGUAUUUUAUAAAACUAAAAUAAAUGGAACUAUAAUAGAAAACAAAAAAAGAAAAUAAAUAAAAACAAUGACUAAAACAAAAAAGGGGGAAAAAGGGAAAACCCCCUGGCCAACUGGGCCAACAGCCCAGCCGGCCAUCCCACACCGGCCCAGCCGCCCCACCCCCCCUGCCGUUCCCUUCCCUGUUCCCCCGACCAGGGUCGGAACAGGGGCACGUCCCCGCCCGACCACCUCGUCAUCGACGGCGGGCGGAUAAGAACGCCAUGCCGGCGCCUCCUCGGGUUCUCCUCCCCACUCCACCUCGCGCUCCCUCUCGGCCUCUCUCCCCGCUCCUCAGAUCCGCCCCAUCCGAACGCUCCCAUGGCCAUGGUCGUCGGGUAGCCGAGGCCACCUUCCUUAUCGCACCGCACCGCCGUGUCCAUCAGCUCCACCGACGUCUUCUUCGUCUACCUCGCCACUGGAUCGGAGACGGGAGGCCACCUCGUCGACGCCCGCACCAACUUCUUCCUCCUCGGCCGCCACCGCCAUCGCCGUUGAUUUCGGCUACCCCGCGCCUCCCCCGAGCACACGCUUGCACAACUACAGGCUCGCGGUGAGCCUCCGCUUCCUUCCCCCUCUCUGUUUCAUCCCGCUGACGAGCUCCUGGGGACCCAGGGAAGCUCGUGUGCCCCGUAAUUGCCGAUCCGUCGAGCUCCGCCCUUUGACCGUCACCAUUGUCGCGCCUGACUCCGGUCACCGCUCCCUCCCCAUGCCCGCGCUCCGCUCGCGUCCUAGCGGCCCCGCACGCCACACGCGUCGGCCGCGCCCAUGACCCCCCAGGUCGCGCGCCCUGCCGCCCUCUUGGAUGCAGGCACGCCCGCAGCCACCGCACUUGACCUGUGCCUUCCCUCCUGGCUGCUUGCCUCGUCGCCGCAUGCCGCGCGCCCCUCGGCUCCGCUGCCCCCUGCCGCGCCCCAACUUCCCGUACCCCUCGGAGGCCACCUGCACCACAGGCCGCGUCGGCCUGCCUCGCCUGCUGUUGUUGCUCCCGCCGCGCACGCGCCGUCGCUGCUCAUCGUGUCCGACCCGCCCCUGACCUCGCUCGCCUCGGCUCCGCCGCAUCCCGCUCCUCCUCACCGGGCCUUUCCCCUUCGCGUCACUCCCUUGCUGCUCGCUGCUCGCUGCCUACAACUGCUGCUCUGCGUGUGCUGCUGCUUCAGUUACUGUAGCGCUCGCUAGCUUUUCUAAUUCUAUGAUGAGCCCUUUAGACAGCCCAGGGAAGCUCGUGUGCCCCGUAAUCGCCGAUCCGUCGAGCUCCGCCCUUUGACCGUCACCGUUGUCGCGCCUGACUCCGGUCACCGCUCCCUCCCCAUGCCCGCGCUCCGCUCGCGUCCUAGCGGCCCCGCACGCCACACGCGUCGGCCGCGCCCAUGACCCCCCAGGUCGCGCGCCCUGCCGCCCUCUUGGAUGCAGGCACGCCCGCAGCCACCGCACUUGACCUGUGCCUUCCCUCCUGGCUGCUUGCCUCGUCGCCGCACGCCGCGCGCCCCUCGGCUCCGCUGCCCCCUGCCGCGCCCCAACUUCCCGUACCCCUCGGAGGCCACCUGCACCACAGGCCGCGUCGGCCUGCCUCGCCUGCUGUUGUUGCUCCCGCCGCGCACGCGCCGUCGCUGCUCAUCGUGUCCGACCCGCCCCUGACCUCGCUCGCCUCGGCUCCGCCGCAUCCCGCUCCUCCUCACCGGGCCUUUCCCCUUCGCGUCACUCCCUUGCUGCUCGCUGCUCGCUGCCUACAACUGUUGCUCUGCGUGUGCUGCUGCUUCAGUUACUGUAGCGCUCGCUAGCUUUUCUAAUUCUAUGAUGAGUAGCCCUUUAGACAGCCCUUAAACUCUAGCAAAACAAUUGUUAACAGGACUAAAAAAAAUAUGGAAAGAUAGUAUACUUGACAAACUCUAUUUUAUCCCACUGGAUCAAAUACAUUUGAUGUAUGGUUUAAGUUCUAUGAAAAUCACAAAAUGCUAUCUUCUGAUAACAGCAAACAGAUUUAACCUCUAGCAUUGUGUGUUGUGUGUUGUGUGUGUAUGCAGCGUGGUGUGUGUGAGUGUGCCGUGUGAGUGCACGUGUGUGUGAGUGUGUGUGCGGGCCGGCCCAAACUAGUUAAGUCUAAUUUAAUUAGCUAGAUUAGUCCUAGGAUUAAUUCUACUGUUUAGUUAGUACUAUCAGUUUAGUGCUAGAUUAGCCUAAUAGCCCAUAACAUGUGGCCCCAUCCUCAUCUAGACACUAAUUUAAUAUAGAUGCCCAUGACAUGUGGGCCAUACCUCAUCUUUUGACCAGUCAAUGUAAAAUGGUUGACCAGCCCCCCGGGUCCCACUGUCAUACACAUAGGUUAGGGUAACACUAUGUAACAAAUGCACAUUCUGUCUUCAAUUCAAUUUAAACAAUUUCAAAAAAUUCAGAAAAUGAAUUAAAACUUUCAAAAUUAAUAUAGAAUAAAACGUAGCUCGGAUGGAAAAACUUUGUACAUGAAAGUUGCUCAGAACGACGAGACGAAUCCGGAUACGCAGCCCGUUCGUCCGCCACACAUCCCUAGCAUAGCGAACACACAACUUUCCCCCUCCGGUUCAUCUGUCCAAAAACGCGAAACACCAGAAAUACUUUCCCGGAUGUUUCCCCCCUUCGCAAGUAUCACCUAGUACUGCGUUAGGUCACCCCUAGCACCCCGUAUUGCCAUGUUAUACUUUGUGAUGCUUUGAUUGCUCUGUUAUUUAUUGUGUUCCCCCUUCGUUACUUCUUUCCGGUAGACCCAGAGACCGCUGUCGGUACCCCUGUGAUCGACUACAUCGACGAUGAACCCUUCUCUUGCCAGAGCAACCAGGCAAGCCCCCCCUUGGAUUGCCAGAUAUCGCCUAUUCUUCCCUCUACUGCUUGCUUUAGAGUAGUGUAGCAUGUUACUGUUCGAUUAAUCCUAUUCUGUUGCAUAGCCUAUCAUUGUUGCUACAUCUGUUGAUACCUUAUCUGCAUUCCUAAAUGCUUAGUAUAGGAUGCUAGUUUACCAUUAGUGGCCCAAUAUUUUUGUCAGUCUGCCAUGCUAUACUAUCGGGCCGUGAUCACUCGAGAGGUGAUCACGGGUAUAUAUUAUACAUACAUAUACUAUACAGAUGGUGACUAAAGUCGGGUUGGCUCGUUGAGUACCUGCAAGUGAUUUUGAGGGGGCUGGAAGGACAGGUGGUUCCAUCCCGGUAGAGGUGGGCCUGGGUUCCUGACGGCCCCCGACUGUUACUUUGUGGCGGAGCGACAGGGCAGGUUGAGACCACGUAGGAGAGAGGUGGGCCUGGCCCUGGUCGGCGUCCGCAGUUACUUCAAAAUAACACACUUAACGAGAUCUUGGUAUUUGAUCUGAGUCUGGCCACUGACCUAUACGCACUAACCAACUACGCGGGAAAGAUAUGGGUACUCGACAUCGUGGUAUCAACCGAAGCCUUCGUGAUGUCAACGACUGAGCGGCGCGCGCCGGAUUGGAACGUAAGCCUGCUCUUGUAUUAAGGGGGCUAGUUUUGCUUCUGGCCCCAUUCGCAACAUGCAGGUGUGCAAUGGGCGAUGGGCCCAGACCCUUGCGCGCAUAGGAUUUAGACCGGCGUCCUGACCUCUCUGUUGUGUCUAGGUGGGGCUGCGACGUGUUGAUCUUCCGAGGCCGGGCAUGACCCAGGAAAGUGUGUCCGGCCAAAUGGGAUCGAGCGUGUUGGGUUAUGUGGUGCACCCCUGCAGGGAAGUUUAUCUAUUCGAAUAGCCGUGUCCCUCGGUAAAAGGACGACCCGGAGUUGUACCUUGACCUUAUGACAACUAGAACCGGAUACUUAAUAAAACACACCAGACAAGUUCCACAGACAACCCGGUGAUCGCUUUUCCACAGGGCGACGAGGGGAGGAUCGCCGGGUAGGAUUAUGCUAUGCGAUGCUACUUGGAGGACUGCAAUCUACUCUUUUUUACAUGCCGCAAGACAGAGGCUGCCAGAAGCGUAGUCUUCGAUAGGACUAGCUAUCCCCCUCUUAUUCUGGCAUUCUGCAGUUCAGUCCACCGAUAUUGCCUCUUUACACAUAUACCCAUGCAUGUGUAGUAUAGAUCCUUGCUUGCGAGUACUUUGGAUGAGUACUCAUGGUUGCUUUUCUCCCCCUUUCCCCCCUUUCCUUUCUUCCUGGUUGUCACAACCAGAUGCUAGAGCCCAGGAGCCAGAUGCCACCGUC